GGAAGUAAAAGUCAUAACAAGGUUUCCGUAGGUGAACCUGCGGAAGGAUCAUUAUUGAAUAAACCUGAUGUGGUUGUAGCUGGCCCUUUCGGGAGCAUGUGCACACCCGUCGUCUUUAUCUUUCCACCUGUGCACCUUUUGUAGACCUGGAUGUAACACUUUCCGAGGCAACUCGGUCGGGAGGAAUGCUGUCAGCUUUCCUUGAAUGUCCAGGCCUAUGUUUUCAUAUACCCCAAAGAAUGUAACAGAAUGUAUUAUUGGGCCUUGUGCCUAUAAACUAUAUACAACUUUCAGCAACGGAUCUCUUGGCUCUC
rnacentral:misc_RNA from 1 species